ensembl:lncRNA
GUCAGUCUUUCCGCAGUAAAAGAGACAGCACCCAAGAAUCACCCAUCCACGUUCUUUUAAGUGGGAGAAAAAAAGAGAACAACUUUCUCCAUCUGUGAACAUUCAGCAAGGAAAACAUUCAGGGUGCGUUGAGGAGAACUGCUGCUUCUUCGCCCCUCCAGUUGCCACCCCCGAAUAGGCAUGAUCAGCAAAUACUCAGCACAGCGCUCUCUCGGCGGCAGAUGCUGAUGAGCACAGGGAACUAGUUACGAGGCUGCAACGUGACCGUCGCAUCUCCCAGUGAUGGCCUCAUCAGCUACGCAGCUGUGCUUGGGCUACUGUCACUGCAUCUAGCAACCAGUUCUGAGUGACGCUCCCCCCCCACUCCCCUGCCCCCCCCCUCUCCC